rnacentral:rRNA from 1 species
GACGGGUAUCCGGCCUGAGAGGGUGAACGGACACACUGGAACUGAGACACGGUCCAGACUCCUACGGGAGGCAGCAGUAGGGAAUAUUGCUCAAUGGGGGAAACCCUGAAGCAGCAACGCCGCGUGGAGGAUGAAGGUUUUCGGAUUGUAAACUCCUUUUCUAAGAGAAGAUUAUGACGGUAUAUUAGGAAUAAGCACCGGCUAACUCCGUGCCAGCAGCCGCGGUAAUACGGAGGGUGCAAGCGUUACUCGGAAUCACUGGGCGUAAAGAGCGCGUAGGCGGGAUAGCAAGUCAGAUGUGAAAUCCUAUGGCUUAACCAUAGAACUGCAUUUGAAACUGUUAUUCUA